rnacentral:rRNA from 1 species
AAAUGAAUAGACGGGGACCCGCACAAGCGGUGGAGCAUGUGCUUUAAUUCGAUGCAACGCGAAGAACCUUACCCGGUCUUGACAUAGUUCUGACCACUGUAGAGAUACGGUUUUCAGCAAUGACAGGACAUACAGAUGCUGCAUGGUUGUCGUCAGCUCGUGUCGUGAGAUGUUGGGUUAAGUCCCGCAACGAGCGCAACCCUUGCCGAUAGUUACCAUCAUUAAGUUGGGGACUCUAUCGGGACUGCUUUCGCAAGGAAGAGGAAGGUGGGGAUGACGUCAAAUCAUCAUGGCUCUUACGACCGGGGCUAGACACGUGCUACAAUGGCGGCUACAAAGGGUUGCUACUUAGUAAUAAGAUGCCAAUCUCAAAAAAGCCGUCUCAGUUCGGAUUGAGGUCUGCAACUCGACCUCAUGAAGUUGGAAUCGCUAGUAAUCGUAGGUCAGCAUACUACGGUGAAUACGUUCCCGGGUCUUGUACACACCGCCCGU